rnacentral:lncRNA from 1 species
UUUUUUUUUUUUUUUAAAAGGAAGCCAAGUUACCUUAAGAGUAAUUACUAAUACUGGUGUUUAUUAUCACCUAUAAACAAGAUGAGAGUACUGUAUUUUGUAUCUUUUUUAAAAAUUACUUUUAACCACUGAAUAAAAGAAUCAUCUUUUAUAUCAGGUUACCUAUGUGAAUAGGCCAAAUGUAUCUCAUCCAAACUUUGUCCAAAAUUUGGACAUCCAAUCAUCAUUUAAAGAACAUUAAGCACUUUUCUAUACCUAGUAUUAUCAUUAUCAGUAUGCUAUAUAUGAGAUAAAAUAACAUCAUUUGCUUUUUGAGAUCUUUGGAGGAAAUCUGGCAUAAGUAUGUGUCAAACAAAUACAGGUGUUUCCUAUCUCUGCACUUAAGUUGUAGGAUCUUGAGCAAAUUAACUUCGAUAAGCCUCACUUUCCUCAUUUACAAAAUGUGGAAGAAUAAUGGUAGUUCAUACUUCAUAGGGAUUAUUCUGAAUGUUGAGCAAGCCAAUUCAUUUUAUAUGUAUCACAGUGACUGGCAGAUGGAAAGCACUCAAUAAACGUAAGUUAUCUUUUUUUUUUUUAAAGUACAUACAAGAAACAAAACAUUGAAUUGGUGGAAGAAUGUGGAUACCUUAAUUUGCUUAAAUAGAAUAUCAUCUCACUAGGUAGUUCAAAUAGCAACUACAAUAGGAUUUGUUUUCCCUCAAACUAUGAGAAAUGUUUUAGAAAGUCAAAGAAUGAUAAUCUUGCUGUAUUGAUAGUGUGAGAAUGCAGAAUCACAAAGAACGAAAUGCAGAAAUACACUUCUUAUCAGUAUUAUCUAGACCUGCUGAAAGAAGCUAUACUGCUUCACUCGGUUUUGCAUUAAACACUCAGAAAUCUUACCCAUAGUGUUUUACACCUAUCGCUAAUGCUGGUUAGGUAGGUGGGCACCCAGUUUAAGACUCUAAAACAGUCAGGCAGACAGCAGGGGAUUAAGGAGGAGCCAGGAGAGUAUUAACUGCCACUUCCUUCUAACCUAAGAGAAUGGCAGCGUCACACCUGGCAAGUGGCAGAAUGAUCAGCUGCCAUGCUCCUAUGGGAAGCUGGAAAGCCCAUACUUUUUUGGGAAACAUGCUGUACUGUCUCCUGCUAUGUGUGUUAUUCACAAAUUUUCCACAUUCUUUACUAUCUUUUACUUUUUGGCAUAGUUUUAUCAACCAUCCUGUUAACAAUCAUGCAGCCCACAUUCCCACAUACUGUUUACAAUUGGCUGAAACUACGUAGAACAGCUUGUCCUUUUAGUUGGGGUGUAACCCUUCUGUUUGUUACACUGCCCACAGUGCCUUAUUAUUUCACAAUAAGGGACAUUUCCUUCCUGGAUCAU